rnacentral:rRNA from 1 species
AGGGAAUCUUCGGCAAUGGACGCAAGUCUGACCGAGCAACACCGCGUGAGUGAAGAAGGUUUUCGGAUCGUAAAACUCUGUUGUUAGAGAAGAACAAGGAUGAGAGUGGAAAGUUCAUCCCUUGACGGUAUCUAACCAGAAAGCCACGGCUAACUACGUGCCAGCAGCCGCGGUAAUACGUAGGUGGCAAGCGUUGUCCGGAUUUAUUGGGCGUAAAGCGAGCGCAGGCGGUCUUUUAAGUCUGAUGUGAAAGCCCCCGGCUUAACCGGGGAGGGUCAUUGGAAACUGGGAGACUUGAGUGCAGAAGAGGAAAGCGGAAUUCCAUGUGUAGCGGUGAAAUGCGUAGAUAUAUGGAGGAACACCAGUGGCGAAGGCGGCUUUCUGGUCUGUAACUGACGCUGAGGCUCGAAAGCGUGGGGAGCAAAC